rnacentral:misc_RNA from 1 species
GAUGAAAGAACGUAGCGAAAUGCGAUAAGUAAUGUGAAUUGCAGAAUUCAGUGAAUCAUCGAAUCUUUGAACGCACAUUGCGCCCGCCAGUAUUCUGGCGGGCAUGCCUGUUCGAGCGUCAUUUCAACCAUCAAGCCCCCGGCUUGUGUUGGGGACCUGCGGCUGCCGCAGGCCCUGAAAAGCAGUGGCGGGCUCGCUGUCACACCGAGCGUAGUAGCAUACAUCUCGCUCUGGGCGUGCUGCGGGUUCCGGCCGUUAAACCACCUUCAUAACCCAAGGUUGACCUCGGAUCAGGUAGGAAGACCCGCUGAACUUAAGCAUAUCAAUAAGCGGAGGA